UGGGGAAUAUUGGACAAUGGGCGAAAGCCUGAUCCAGCCAUGCCGCAUGAGUGAAGAAGGCCUUUGGGUUGUAAAGCUCUUUUAGUGAGGAAGAUAAUGACGGUACUCACAGAAGAAGUCCUGGCUAACUCCGUGCCAGCAGCCGCGGUAAUACGGAGAGGUCUAGCGUUAUUCGGAAUUAUUGGGCGUAAAGGGCGCGUAGGCUGGUUAAUAAGUUAAAAGUGAAAUCCCGAGGCUUAACCUUGGAAUUGCUUUUAAAACUAUUAAUCUAGAGAUUGAAAGAGGAUAGAGGAAUUCCUGAUGUAGAGGUAAAAUUCGUAAAUAUUAGGAGGAACACCGGUGGCGAAGGCGUCUAUCUGGUUCAAAUCUGACGCUGAAGCGCGAAGGCGUGGGGAGCAAACA
rnacentral:rRNA from 1 species